UACGAAGGGGGCUAGCGUUGCUCGGAAUUACUGGGCGUAAAGCGCACGUAGGCGGCUUUCUAAGUCGGGGGUGAAAUCCUGGAGCUCAACUCCAGAACUGCCUUCGAUACUGGAGAGCUCGAGUCCGGGAGAGGUGAGUGGAACUGCGAAGUGUAGAGGUGAAAUCGUAGAUAUCAGGAGGAACAUCGGUGGCGAAGGCGGCCUCCUGGACACUUACUGACGGCUGGAGACGCGAAAGCGUGGGGAGCAAACAGG
rnacentral:rRNA from 1 species